UACGAAGGGGGCUAGCGUUGUUCGGAAUCACUGGGCGUAAAGGGCGCGUAGGCGGCUUUAUAAGUCGGGGGUGAAAGCCUGUGGCUCAACCACAGAAUUGCCUUCGAUACUGUAGAGCUUGAGACCGGAAGAGGUUAGUGGAACUGCGAGUGUAGAGGUGAAAUUCGUAGAUAUUCGCAAGAACACCAGUGGCGAAGGCGGCUCACUGGCCCGAUACUGACGCUGAGGCACGAAAGCGUGGGGAGCAAACAGG
rnacentral:rRNA from 1 species